rnacentral:rRNA from 1 species
UACGUAGGGUGCAAGCGUUAAUCGGAAUUACUGGGCGUAAAGCGUGCGCAGGCGGCUUUGCAAGAAAGAUGUGAAAUCCCCGGGCUUAACCUGGGAACUGCAUUUGUGACUGCAUGGCUGGAGUGCGGCAGAGGGGGAUGGAAUUCCGCGUGUAGCAGUGAAAUGCGUAGAUAUGCGGAGGAACACCGAUGGCGAAGGCAAUCCCCUGGGCCUGCACUGACGCUCAUGCACGAAAGCGUGGGGAGCAAACAGG